rnacentral:rRNA from 1 species
GAUGAACGCUGGCGGCGUGCCUAAUACAUGCAAGUCGAGCGAAGCGCGGACGGGUGAGUAACACGUGGAUAACCUCCUAUAAGACUGGGAUAACUUCGGGCAACCGGAGCUAAACCGGAUACUUAUCGAUGGAUCCGUGUUGCAUUAGCUAGUUGGUAAGGUAACGGCUUACCAAGGCAACGAUGCAUAGCCGACCUGCGAGGGUGAGCGGCCACACUGGAACUGAGACACGGUCAAGACUCCUACGGGAGGCAGAAGUAGGGAAUCUUCCGCAAUGGGCGAAAGACUGACGGAGCAACGCCGCGGGAGUGAUGAAGGUCUUUGUAUCGUAACACUCUGUUAUUAGGGAAGCGGUACCUAAUCAGAAAGCCACGGCUAACUACGUGCCAGCAGCCGCGGUAAUAC